GACGAACGCUGGCGGCGUGCUUAACACAUGCAAGUCGAACGGUAAGGCCCUUCGGGGUACACGAGUGGCGAACGGGUGAGUAACACGUGGGUGAUCUGCCCUGCACUUCGGGAUAAGCCUGGGAAACUGGGUCUAAUACCGGAUAGGACUCCUGGCUGCAUGGUUGGGGGUGGAAAGCUUUUGCGGUGUGGGAUGGGCCCGCGGCCUAUCAGCUUGUUGGUGGGGUAAUGGCCUACCAAGGCGACGACGGGUAGCCGGCCUGAGAGGGUGACCGGUCACACUGGGACUGAGAUACGGCCCAGACUCCUACGGGAGGCAGCAGUGGGGAAUAUUGCACAAUGGGCGCAAGCCUGGUGCAGCGACGCCGCGUGAGGGAUGACGGCCUUCGGGUUGUAAACCUCUUUCAGCUAUGACGAAGCGCAAGUGACGGUAGUAGCAGAAGAAGGACCGGCCAACUACGUGCCAGCAGCCGCGGUAA
rnacentral:rRNA from 1 species